rnacentral:lncRNA from 1 species
UAUAACAUUACCCGAAAGAACACUUAACAACGCUUUUUCAGAUUUAUAGGUUUUAAGAGCACUUAAAUGAGCUAGUUAACUACAUCGGGAUACUUGGGUCGUUCUCAAUGAAAAUAAGUAGGUCAUUAGGCGGUGGUUAGAGGAGGUGGAUUCAGCAGGCCCAAUCACUCACCAAAUAAACUCUACUUUUUAACUCAUUCACCACAAAACCUCUGCCACAUGUCACCCCGGCAAAAGCCUACACAAAAUUAGUUUCAAGUGUGGACCAAAUCUGGAUUUAGGUUUUGGUUAACCACAUUUUGUAAUUCCAUUUUGAGUGAUGACAUGAGGGAAAAACAAAAACAAAAACAAAAACAAAAAAAGAAGCCAAAAAGGAAAAGGUGUGUGUGUAGGGUUUUGUAAUGUAGCUUUGGGGCCCUUCAGAAGAGGAGGAAUGCAUUUUGGUUUAAAAGUUAAUGUCAGUGACGGAUGGUACGUCAAAUCGAAAACUAUAUAUCAUUACCGUUCUCAUCCAAACCUUUGACUCUUAAAAUAAAUAUGACUUUGUUGUGUAUUUUUUUUGUUUUGUUUGAAAUAACAGCUCUAUGUAUGGCUCAAGUCCGAGAAAAUGGGAAGGAGGGAGAGAGAGGGUGAGGCACC